CUGCUAGUGGCACAUAUGUACUUCUAGCGGCACAUUAAAUGAUCUAAUGCACAUAUGUGCCAGAAGUAUGCCACAAUUUUCCCUUAGAUGCCUUUUAUAUAAAUAGUGUGCCAGAAGUGUACCAGAAAUGUUUCUUUUAACCAACAAAAUCACUGUGUGCCAAAAGUGUGCCAUAAAGACCUUUAGGAACGACUUGUCUGUUGUGUUACAGACCUAUCUAAGAACGGCUUAUCAGUUCACAUCCGGUUUGGAAGUUUGCGCCAAUUUUUAAACCACCUGGGUCAUGACUCAUGACAAGAACAAAGAGAAAGGAGAAAACAGCAACAUAGACCUUGGAUAAAGAGAGAAUAUGGACUGAUGAUGAAUCAGUAAAUCCUCAACAAAGAAUAGAUCAAAAGGGCAUUUAUCUGCAGGAAAGGAUUCUGCUAACUAAAAUAUGGACUAAAAGUACUUGCAUAAUGUUGGAAAGGAAGCCCCCCCCCACCCCCCCCACCCCCAAUCAUGAAAAGUUAGUUGAAAUGUCAGAGUGAAUUUGAAGUACAUGUACCAAGAAUAUUCCUAUCAAAUGUAUCGCCCACAUGGUUAGAGCGUCUGCCCUUGAGUCACGAAGUAAGGAGUUGAAUUCCACUGUGGAUCCUUCGGAUAAGACUGUAUAAACUGAGGUCCCAUGUUGCAGUAGGUGAUGAUAAAAAAAGAUCCUCCCUGUUCAAUGGCUCUGAGUGCCAAUUAAUGUAGUGUAGGACAAAAUUUGCAGCUCUCCCACGGCAGAUGUUGGCAUCUCCAUAUAAGUGAAAAAUUCUCAUGAGGGACUUUAAACAAUAUACAAUCAAUCAAUUAAUGGGAAAUGCAACGGAUAAGGACACUCUUUCAACAUGACAUGGAUUCUUCAAGGGGAUUAUGUUGUUGUUUUUUUUAAAAGUGAUAGAAUCAAGACACUGAACAAAUUGUCGCCUUUACUGUGUAAAUAAUAUUGUGAGAUUUAAUUUGUCAAAAUACCUUAUAUGUUUUUAUUCAUAUUGUGCAGCACUAUUACUUUGAUACGUGCAGUUGAAAUUCAUUGUAAGAGGUGAAUCUUUUCUUUGAUGUAAAAUGUUUUGUGAUUGUUGUUAACUACAAAUCCUCUAUUUAUUUUGCAUAAUGACCAAUGUAAAUUUGUGCCAUUAUAUUACUCAAAGGUUGCUAAUUUAUUUUUUUUAAAUCUGUUUCUUUCUCUAUCUGAUGUAUACAGUGUAACUGUUCAAUCAACAGAUUUUGUUCUUGUACUGUGCAAGUUUUUUUUAAACAUUAAUAUUAUAGUUAGUGUUAUAUAUACAUGUACUUGGUACCUUUUUAUCUUGAAAUUUUCAUAAAUAAUUUUUAAAAUGGCUUGAAUGUUCUUUUUUUUAUAGUACAUGUAUUACAUGUUGCUGUCAUGUUUAAUCACUUUCUUUUAAAAUUAAUUUGUUAAGGUUAGGUAUAUUAACUUAUGGAAUUGUAUAUGCCAGAAAUGUGCCACAAGUGUGUGCCACAAAUUUGCAGUUAACUAUAUGCCAGAAAUGUGCCGCAAGUGUGUGCCACAAACUUGCAGUAAACUAUAUGCCAGAAAUAUGCCACAAGUGUGUGCCACAAAUGUGCCAGAACUUUGCCGCAAAUAUGCCGCAAACUGUGUGCCAGAAAAAAAUUUGCAUACGAAAAAUCUAUUUGUGGCAAGUUUGCCGCAAAUAUUUGCCGCAAAGUUGCGGCAACUUUGCAGUAAACUUGCUGCAACUAUGUGCCAGAAGGCUUUUAUUUUGG